CUUGAGAGGAUGAAGAAGAACAUGGAGGUUACAGUCAAAGACCUGCAGCACCGUCUGGAUGAGGCUGAGAGUCUGGCCUUGAAGAGUGGAAAGAAGCAGCUCCGGAAACUGGAAGCUAGGGUUCGUGAACUGGAAAGUGAGGUUGAGGCUGAGUAAAGAAAUAGUGCAGAAGCUUUUAAAGGAGUUCGGAAGCAUGAGAGAAGAGUGAAGGAACUCACUUACCAGACUGCAGAGGAUAAGAAGAAUGUAACCAGACUGCAGGAUCCGGUCGACAAACUGCAGUUGAAAGUGAAGUCCUUUAAGAGACAAGCUGAGGAAGCUGAGGAACAGGCCAGCACUCACUUGGCAAGGUACAGGAAGGUGCAGCAUGAGAUGGGGGAAGCCCAGAGAGAGCUCACAUUGCUGAGUGUUCAACAAGCUCAGGGCAAAGGGCCAUUAUGUUGGAAAGGGAAAAGAGGUUGCAGAGUGAAUCACAUUUCAAUGAGAGACAGCAAUAAACAGUCAUGUGAUUAAUAACUUUGACCACCAAACAACAAUGGCUGCUGUUUUUCUUUUAUUUAACAUUUUGACUUGUUCUCUUAAUUUCUAAUAAAUCUUAAAUAAAGAUUAAAGCUUCUCACAAAGUAUCCAUGUCAAUCAGAACCUAUGGUUACAUGGUAAAUUGUUUAAAAAGUGAUGUGUCCUUUGCUUACACAGAACUGAAGUCCACGAGACCAUAGUAGGUGUCCUAUUUGUCCUUUCAUGUGUACUUCUUUGGGGAUAUGAUGUAACCUCAAUGCAUUUUGCAACGAUUGAACUGGUGCACACUGGAUUACAACCAAAUAAAUGACUAUUAAUCAGCCUACAUGGUAUUCUGUCACCUAAAGUUUACAUUUUUGUGAAGUAAUGUGACAUCGGAUAGCAGUACCUUGUGAAAUCUAAAGGGUGUCCAAGUCGUAUCAGCUAACCAACGUCUUGUCCUUUUAAGACUAUAGGCUACUGCAAUUCGCUGUGGGCCAAUUUUCUAGAUAGAAUAUGAUUCACAAUAUAGUGGCACGUCUACUUCUCCCAAUCAUCAAAACACUGUCAGACUCUGAUGUCAGGACUAGAAUAACCCCUUGUUACUUCAACAUGCUCCUACAGGUCUGUUGCCUUCUGUCAUCAUACACUUUCUCUGCUUCUCUGUGGUGAUCUUAUCUUUCUCUCCCUCAGGUACUCAUUCUGUCAUGCUUUAAAGCAAUAUUUUAGAAAACCACACCCUGUGAGUUAGCACAAAUGUUAAAAGCACUCCAAAGCAAGUACAGUAUGUGCAAAAUCAUGCAACUGCAUCAAAAAUAUAAUAUAAAUGAAAAUGUCAGGGUUUCGCAGACAUGAGCAAGUUAAAUUGAAGACUUUUUAAGACCUUAUUAAUACCAUCUUAUAAGACCUAAACCUGUAAUGGAAAUACACAUUUUAUUACAUUACAUAUAUGU